CACGGGGGUUGCGAGCGUUGUUCGGAAUCAUUGGGCGUAAAGAGCGUGUAGGCGGCUUGGUAAGUCAGAUGUGAAAGCCCUGGGCUCAACCCGGGAAGUGCAUUUGAAACUGCCAGGCUCGAGUAGGGGAGAGGAAAGUGGAAUUCCUGGUGUAGAGGUGAAAUUCGUAGAUAUCAGGAGGAACACCGGCGGCGAAGGCGACUUUCUGGCCCUAUACUGACGCUGAGACGCGAAAGCUAGGGUAGCAAACGGG
rnacentral:rRNA from 1 species